GACGAACGCUGGCGGCGUGCUUAACACAUGCAAGUCGAACGGAAAGGCCCUGCUUUUGUGGGGUGCUCGAGUGGCGAACGGGUGAGUAACACGUGAGUAACCUGCCCUUGACUUUGGGAUAACUUCAGGAAACUGGGGCUAAUACCGGAUAGGAGCUCCUGCUGCAUGGUGGGGGUUGGAAAGUUUCGGCGGUUGGGUAUGGACUCGCGGCUUAUCAGCUUGUUGGUGGGGUAGUGGCUUACCAAGGCUUUGACGGGUAGCCGGCCUGAGAGGGUGACCGGCCACAUUGGGACUGAGAUACGGCCCAGACUCCUACGGGAGGCAGCAGUGGGGAAUAUUGCACAAUGGGCGGAAGCCUUAUGCAGCAACGCCGCGUGCGGGAUGACGGCCUUCGGGUUGUAACCCGCUUUCGCCUGUGACGAAGCGUGAGUGACGGUAAUGUGUAAAGAAGCACCGGCUAACUACGUG
rnacentral:rRNA from 1 species